CCUACGGGUGGCAGCAGUGGGGAAUAUUGCGCAAUGGGCGAAAGCCUGACGCAGCGACGCCGCGUGAGGGAUGAAGGUUUUCGGAUCGUAAACCUCUGUCAGAAGGGAAGAAGUUGCAUGGGGCCAAUCACCUGUGCAUUGACGGUACCUUCAAAGGAAGCACCGGCUAACUACGUGCCAGCAGCCGCGGUAAUACGGAGGGUGCGAGCGUUAAUCGGAAUUACUGGGCGUAAAGCGCACGUAGGCUGUAUGUCAAGUCAAGGGGGAAAUCCCACGGCUCAACCGUGGAACUGCCUUUGAAACUGGCAAAGUGGAGUAUGUGAGAGGGCGGCGGAAUUCCUGGUGGAGGAGUGAAAGCCGUAGAUAUCAGGAGGAACAUCAGUGGCGAAGGCGGCCGCAUGGCACAAAACUGACGCUGAGGUGCGAAAGCGUGGGUAGCAAACAGGAGUAGAUACACCAGUAGUC
rnacentral:rRNA from 1 species